rnacentral:rRNA from 1 species
CCCAGACAGCCAGGAUGUUGGCUUAGAAGCAGCCAUCAUUUAAAGAAAGCGUAAUAGCUCACUGGUCGAGUCGGCCUGCGCGGAAGAUGUAACGGGGCUAAACCAUGCACCGAAGCUGCGGCAGCGAACGUAUCACUUAAAGCGAUUCAGCGGGUUACGAUUGACGGAGCGAAGCGACGUCAAAGCGUAUACAAAGUCGAGUCGGUUUAAGGAUACGUUCGUUGGGUAGGGGAGCGUUCUGUAAGCCUGUGAAGGUGGCCUGUGAGGGUUGCUGGAGGUAUCAGAAGUGCGAAUGCUGACAUAAGUAACGAUAAAGCGGGUGAAAAGCCCGCUCGCCGGAAGACCAAGGGUUCCUGUCCAACGUUAAUCGGGGCAGGGUGAGUCGACCCCUAAGGCGAGGCCGAAAGGCGUAGUCGAUGGGAAACGGGUUAAUAUUCCCGUACUUGGUGUUACUGCGAAGGGGGGACGGAGAAGGCUAUGUUGGCCGGGCGACGGUUGUCCCGGUUUAAGCGUGUAGGCUGGUUUUCCAGGCAAAUCCGGAAAAUCAAGGCUGAGGCGUGACGACGAGGCACUACGGUGCUGAAGCAACAAAUGCCCUGCUUCCAGGAAAAGCCUCUAAGCAUCAGGUAACAUCAAAUCGUACCCCAAACCGACACAGGUGGUCAGGUAGAGAAUACCAAGGCGCUUGA